AUUGAACGCUGGCGGCAGGCCUAACACAUGCAAGUCGAGCGGGAUCUUCGGUUCUAGCGGCGGACGGGUGAGUAAUGCGUAGGAAGCUACCCGACAGAGGGGGAUACCAGUUGGAAACGACUGUUAAUACCGCAUAAUGUCUACGGACCAAAGUGUGGGACCUUCAGGCCACAUGCUGUCGGAUGCGCCUACGUGGGAUUAGCUAGUUGGUGAGGUAAUGGCUCACCAAGGCGACGAUCCCUAGCUGGUUUGAGAGGAUGAUCAGCCACACUGGACAGGAGACACAGUCCAGACUCCUACGGGAGGCAGCAGUGGGAAAUAUUGGACAAUGGGCGGAAGCCUGAUCCAGCCAUGCCGCGUGUGUGAAGAAGGCCUUCGGGUUGUAAAGCACUUUCAGUAGGGAGGAAGAGUUGAGUGUUAAUAGUACUCAGCUUUGACGUUACCUACAGAAGAAGCACCUGCUAACUCUGUGCCAGCAGCCGCAGUAAAAC
rnacentral:rRNA from 1 species